rnacentral:rRNA from 1 species
GAUGAACGCUGGCGGCGUGCCUAAUACAUGCAAGUCGAGCGGACGGACGAGAAGCUUGCUUCUCUGAUGUUAGCGGCGGACGGGUGAGUAACACGUGGAUAACCUACCUAUCAGACUGGGAUAACUUCGGGAAACCGGAGCUAAUACCGUAUAAUAUUUUGAACCGCAUGGUUCAAAAGUGAAAGACGGUCUUGCUGUCACUUAUAGAUGGAUCCGCGCUGCAUUAGCUAGUUGGUAAGGUAACGGCUUACCAAGGCAACGAUGCAUAGCCGACCUGAGAGGGUGAUCGGCGACACUGGAACUGAGAAGCGGUCCAGACUCCUACGGGAGGCAGCAGUAGGGGAGCUUACGCAAUGGGGGAAAGCAUGACGGAGCAACGCCGCGUGGGUGAUGAAGGUCUUCGGAUCGUAAAACUCUGUUAUUGGGGAAGAACAUAUGUGUAAGUGACUGUGCACAUCUUGACGGUACCUAAUCAGAAAGCCACGGCUAACUACGUG